rnacentral:rRNA from 1 species
CAGUCGCCGCGGUAAUACGAAGGGUGCAAGCGUUACUCGGAAUUACUGGGCGUAAAGCGUGCGUAGGUGGUGGUUUAAGUCCGUUGUGAAAGCCCUGGGCUCAACCUGGGAAUUGCAGUGGAUACUGGGUCACUAGAGUGUGGUAGAGGAUAGUGGAAUUUCCGGUGUAGCAGUGAAAUGCGUAGAGAUCUGGAGGAAUACCGGUGGCGAAGGCGGCCCCCUGGACAAAGACUGACGCUCAGGUGCGAAAGCGUGGGGAGCAAACAGGAUUAGAUACCCCUGUAGUCCCUGUCUCUUAUAA